ensembl:lncRNA
AUGAACGCUGAAGCACACACUUUAGAUUUGGGUCCUUGCUUAACAGAUUCACAUUUCCAAUUACCUGACAACACACACUCACUCUCUCUCACACACACACACACACACACACUCACCCUCCCACACACACACACACCCUCACUCUCUCUCUCUCUCUCACACACACCCACACACACCCACACACACUCUCUCUCUCUCACACACUCACUCUCUCUCACACACACACAAACACACUCACACCCACACACUCUCACUCACUCUCUCACACACACACACCCCCUCUCUCACACACACACACACUCACACUCCCACACACACACACACCCACACUCCCUCUCCCACUCACACACACACACUCUCCCUCACACUCACACACACACACACCCCCACUCCCCCACUCCCUCACCCUCACCCACACACACACACACCCACUCCCCCCCCCACCCACACACACCCUCCCUCUCUCUCUCUCUCUCACACACACCCACACUCCCUCCCUCUCUCUCUCCCUCCCACACACACACACACCCUCCCUCACACACACACACACUCUCCCUCACACUCACACACACACACACACCCCCACUCCCCCACUCCCUCACCCUCACCCACACACACACACACUCUCUCUCUCACACACACACAAACACACACACACACUCUCUCUCCCUCUCACACACACACACACCCACACUCACUCUCCCUCACUCCCACCCACACACACACCCACACACACUCACACACACUCUCACACUCCCACCCUCGCACACACACACACACACAAUCUCACACACCCACUCUCACACACACACACUCCCUCACUCUCUCUCACACACACACAAACACACACACACUCUCUCUCCCUCUCACACACACACUCUCCCUCACACUCACACACACACACUCACACACACUCUCACACUCCCUCUCUCUCUCACACACUCACUCUCUCUCUCACACACACCCACACACACACACACUCACACACACUCUCACACUCCCACCCUCGCACACACACACACACACUCCCUCUCUCUCACACACACACUCUCUCUCACACACACACACCCACACUCACUCUCCCUCACACACACACACACUCUCACACUCCCACCCUCGCACACACACACACACACACACACACACACACACACCAGGUGCUCAAAUGUAAACAAACAAAAAAAUUAUAGGUCAAACAUUUGGAUACGUUACUAUUUUGGAUUUUUUCAAUAG